GCGGGCGUAGUAUAACGGUUAAUAUGCCGGCCUUCCAAGCCAGAGAUGGGGUUUCGAUUACCCCCGCCCGCACCA
rnacentral:tRNA from 1 species